rnacentral:lncRNA from 1 species
AUAUGAUGUAAUAUCUUAGAAUCUUCGGUCCAGUGCCAAUGUUUGAUAAUAACGAGCAUUUGUUGUUUUCAGGAGGAUUUAAAAUCUGGGAAUGCACUAUGAUCUUCUCCAUUAUUUGAUUGAUAAUAAUAUUGAUCUUUGCGACAAAACCGUCCUAGAUUUAGGUUGUGGUGUUGGAAUUUUAGGCAUGUACGCUCUUCAAAAUGGGGGCCACUGUACAUUUUCAAGACUAUAAUGUCGAUGUUCUGAAAUAUGCUACUAUUCCCAGCGUAUCUCAUAGCUUUGGAAAUACCAUAACUGCAGGUUCUUUGCAGGUGACUGGAGUUUUUUUUGUAAAGAAAACACUUCAACAAAGUAUGACUGCAUAUUGAGUUCAGAAACCAUCUACAAUCCCAAGAAUUAUGAUAAAUUAUGUGCUGUCUUUGAAGAAAAGCUGAAGCCAAAUGGUUAUGGGUAUCCUUUACUUUGUCUAAAUUUUUUGUUGUUUUUUUUUUUUAUUUUUAGUUUCUUCAAUCAACACUCUUUACUCUCUUUCUCUCUCUUUUUUUUUUUCUUUUUUCCUUAUUUUACUAAAAACAUUUUCAAUUUCUCUAACUAAUUUUUUUCUACUGAGCAUUUGAUAUAUGGCAAAAAAUUAAUGAUUUCAAAUCAGGUCAUACAAGAUAGCUUAGGAACCAGAUUUUAUUGGUUCCUAGCCAUCUGCGCACCUCAAUGCUUUUUUCCUAAUAUUUACAGAAAGAUAAAACCUACUUUACAACGCAGUACUCAUAGAACAUAAACUUAAAGUCUAUAGAAAAGUGUACUUUGACACACAGUAAGCCAGGAAUCUCUAAAAUCCGGUUACUUAUCUAACAGACCUAGUAGUUUUAACUAUUCUGUUCAAUCUUUUUGCAGCCCUGUACUAGUGCAGAUCUCUAUCCGAUCAAUUCUGAUUCAAUAAAAUCUCAGACAUCCCUAUUGCUUGAAAAGUGAAAGGAUGGGUAAAUUGAAUAUGUUGACUAAUUCAUGCUGAAUUAAUUUUUUCUUGUUUGGAGAACAAUUUGCAAAUCAUUUCUACAUUUUGUGAGAAUGGUUUGAAUUAAAGAUAUCUAUCAUCAGGUUUUUAAUCUUUUAUCUUCCUUAUAAAUUGAUAAACUCAGACUUUAGGAGCAAAAUCAUUCUAUUUUGGCGUUGGAGGAAGCACAUUGGAAUUCGAGAAAAAGUGGAUGCUAGAAAAAAUUGAAUUGCUCUAAAUGUUGGACAUUUUCAAAUGGUAAGCACUGCUGCUUUUUUUUAAGUAAUGAACAUAUAAAACAAAUUUUGGGUACAUAUUUAGAAUUGUCACUAAAUUAAAUACUUUUAGUUACAUUCAAUUGAUGCCUCUGCAUUCUUCCACGGAAGAGUUUGAUCCCGUUUAGAGAGAGAGAGAGACAGGUCUUUUAUCAAUCGUUUUUCAACUAAUUGUCUUUUGUCACUUCUUAAAAAAAACCAGAGAUCCUUAUUGAUCCAAAUGCUUUUCGCAAUCAAUAAUAGCUCUAGCUCAUAAAGAUAGUAUUAAACUGGGCAAGUUUACUGAAUUCACCACCGAGCCCUUUACUUAAUAAAGGCCUCCCGGAGGUGCAGAUGCAUUUCCGGAGGAAUACACUUUCCAAGAAAUUUUUUGAAAUAUCAUGGCCAUUUGAGUUUAGUUUUAUGCAAUGGACCAAUAAACAAGGUCAAAACUAAAAAUAAACAUUGUAUGUUUUCUUUCUAAAAUCUUACCAAAAAAAAAAAAAAAAAAAAACUGUUCAUACUAAAGAAAGGUCGGAAAUCAACUCCUGAACGAUAUAUCAACAAGUAUUUUUGAAACUGAUCAAAUGGAAAUUAGACUUUACAGCUGACGUCUUUCGUAUUUUUUCCAUUAAAUCAAUGUUGUUUUUAAAACACUCAUAUCUUGUUUAGGUCUAGUACUUCCUGACACAUGAUUUGUUUUCUCGUGAAAUUUUGAAGAAGAAACAUGAAGCAUUCAAUUUAUGUCGUGUUGAGAGGUCUAUUUUACAUUAAAUUGAUGCUGUUGCUUUCAUCAUCAGUGGUAGAUUAAAUUUUGUUAAGGCACCAAAGAUUAUGAAAAAACACAGGGUGCAGCAUCCCUCCAUGCAACAAUCCUACAUUUAAGCCAAGUUAUGUUUUUGUCCUCUAUUCAUUCUCUUCUACGUUUACCAAAUCUGGUGUGUACAUUAAUUUUAGUGCCAGAAAUGAGCUGUAAUAUAUUUGAUUUGACCUAUCUUUAUGUUCUUCUUUGAUUUCAGGCCUUCAGAGAGAGAUCCUGAAAAUUUCACUCCUUAGUGAUGAUUAUAAUUGAACAGCAAUGUGAGUACUACUAUUCUUUGUUUUUAUUUACUUCCCUCUUGUGCAGUUUUUUGCAUUUCAGAUUAUUUAUCUCAAAGUAGAUUGAUGGAGGCUGACUAUUUAACCGCGUGUCAGUCAACUUUCGCCUCCAUUAAUAUGUUGACUGCCCCACCAAGCAAUAUGAUCAGGAGGAAGAGUUUCUGUCAGUCAUGUUUGCAGACCCACCAAUUGUAAGAAUUCUCCUAAAGCUGUUGUGGGCAAACAUGUUAUGACUGCAAUGACAAGCUAACUGAAAGGAUGUAUUUUAGUCAAGGGAUUGAAGAAAAAAUUGGCUAAAAAAAAAAUAGAAAUUAAUUGCAUCGGCAAUCACAGCCGGAAUUUUGGAGGACCAAAAUUCCCUCCGAUCCAAUUUAUUGCUUGCUCCCA